GAGCCCAAUUCACUAUGAUUUUGGAGGGCAAGUCUGGUGCCAGCAGCCGCGGUAAUUCCAGCUCCAAUAGCGUAUAUUAAAGUUGUUGCAGUUAAAAAGCUCGUAGUUGAAUUUCGGGGUUAGUAGGUUGGUCGUGCCUCAGGUAUGUACUGGCCUCACUGAUUCCUCCUUCCUGAUGAACCGUAAUGCCAUUAAUUUGGUGUUGCGGGGAAACUGGACUGUUACUUUGAAAAAAUUNGAGUGUUUAAAGCAGGCUAACGCUUGAAUACAUUAGCAUGGAAUAAUGAAAUAGGACGUUCGAUCCUAUUUUGUUGGUUUCUAGGAUUGACGUAAUGAUUAAUAGGGAUAGUUGGGGGCAUUANUAUUCAAUUGUCAGAGGUGAAAUUCUUGGAUUUAUUGAAGACUAACUACUGCGAAAGCAUUUGCCAAGGAUGUUUUCAUUAAUCAAGAACGAAAGUUAGGGGAUCGAAGACNAUCANAUACCGUCGUAGUCUUAACCAUAAACUAUGCCGACUANGGAUCGGAUGAUGCUAAUUUUUUAAUGACUCAUUCGGCGCCUUACGGGAAACCAAAGUGUUUGGGUUC
rnacentral:rRNA from 1 species